rnacentral:rRNA from 1 species
GGAAUCUUCCACAAUGGACGAAAGUCUGAUGGAGCAACGCCGCGUGAGUGAUGAAGGUUUUCGGAUCGUAAAACUCUGUUGUAAGGGAAGAACAAGUACGAGAGGCAAUGCUCGUACCUUGACGGUACCUUGCGAGAAAGCCACGGCUAACUACGUGCCAGCAGCCGCGGUAAUACGUAGGUGGCAAGCGUUGUCCGGAAUUAUUGGGCGUAAAGCGCGCGCAGGCGGCCUUUUAAGUCUGAUGUGAAAGCCCCCGGCUCAACCGGGGAGGGUCAUUGGAAACUGGAAGGCUUGAGUACAGAAGAGAAGAGUGGAAUUCCAUGUGUAGCGGUGAAAUGCGUAGAGAUGUGGAGGAACACCAGUGGCGAAGGCGACUCUUUGGUCUGUAACUGACGCUGAGGCGCGAAAGCGUGGGGAGCAAACAGGAUUAGAUACCCGGG